rnacentral:rRNA from 1 species
AUUGAACGCUGGCGGCGUGCCUAACACAUGCAAGUCGAGCGGUAACAGGUGUAGCAAUACAUGCUGACGAGCGGCGAACGGGUGAGUAAUGCUUCGGAAUCUGCCCAUGUAGUGGGGAAUAACUAGCCGAAAGGUUAGCUAAUACCGCAUACGACCUACGGGUGAAAGCAGGGGAUCGCAAGACCUUGCGCUAUUGGAUGAGCCGAAGUCGGAUAGCUUGUUGGUGAGGUAACGGCUCACCAAGGCGACAAUCCGUAGCUGGUCCGAGAGGACGACCAGCCACACUGGGACUGAGACACGGCCCAGACUCCUACGGGAGGCAGCAGUGGGGAAUAUUGGACAAUGGGGCAACCCUGAUCCAGCGACGCCGCGUGUGUGAAGAAGGCCUGCGGGUUGUAAAGCACUUUUAGU